GGGUUGUGAGGUUAAGCGACUAAGCGUACACGGUGGAUGCCCUGGCAGUCAGAGGCGAUGAAGGACGUGCUAAUCUGCGAUAAGCGCCGGUAAGGUGAUAUGAACCGUUAUAACCGGCGAUACCCGAAUGGGGAAACCCAGUGUGAUUCGUCACACUAUCAUUAACUGAAUCCAUAGGUUAAUGAGGCGAACCGGGGGAACUGAAACAUCUAAGUACCCCGAGGAAAAGAAAUCAACCGAGAUUCCCCCAGUAGCGGCGAGCGAACGGGGAGGAGCCCAGAGCCUGAAUCAGCAUGUGUGUUAGUGGAAGCGUCUGGAAAGGCGCGCGAUACAGGGUGACAGCCCCGUACACAAAAGCGCAUGUGCUGUGAGCUCGAUGAGUAGGGCGGGACACGUGGUAUCCUGUCUGAAUAUGGGGGGACCAUCCUCCAAGGCUAAAUACUCCUGACUGACCGAUAGUGAACCAGUACCGUGAGGGAAAGGCGAAAAGAACCCCGGCGAGGGGAGUGAAAAAGAACCUGAAACCGUGUACGUACAAGCAGUGGGAGCNNAUAGGGGAGCCGGAGGGAAACCGAGUCUUAAUUGGGCGUUAAGUUGCAGGGUAUAGACCCGAAACCCGGUGAUCUAGCCAUGGGCAGGUUGAAGGUUGGGUAACACUAACUGGAGGACCGAACCGACUAAUGUUGAAAAAUUAGCGGAUGACCUGUGGCUGGGGGUGAAAGGCCAAUCAAACCGGGAGAUAGCUGGUUCUCCCCGAAAGCUAUUUAGGUAGCGCCUCGUGAAUUCAUCUCCGGGGGUAGAGCACUGUUUCGGCUAGGGGGCCAUCCCGGCUUACCAACCCGAUGCAAACUGCGAAUACCGGAGAAUGUUAUCACGGGAGACACACGGCGGGUGCUAACGUCCGUCGUGAAGAGGGAAACAACCCAGACCGCCAGCUAAGGUCCCAAAGUCAUGGUUAAGUGGGAAACGAUGUGGGAAGGCCCAGACAGCCAGGAUGUUGGCUUAGAAGCAGCCAUCAUUUAAAGAAAGCGUAAUAGCUCACUGGUCGAGUCGGCCUGCGCGGAAGAUGUAACGGGGCUAAACCAUGCACCGAAGCUGCGGCAGCGAACGUAUCACCCAAGACAACUUUACGGAGUUGACGAUUGACGGAGCGAAGCGACGUCAAAGCGUUCAUUAAAGUCGAGUUGGCUUAGGGAUACGUUCGUUGGGUAGGGGAGCGUUCUGUAAGCCUGUGAAGGUGUGUCGUGAGGCAUGCUGGAGGUAUCAGAAGUGCGAAUGCUGACAUAAGUAACGAUAAAGCGGGUGAAAAGCCCGCUCGCCGGAAGACCAAGGGUUCCUGUCCAACGUUAAUCGGGGCAGGGUGAGUCGACCCCUAAGGCGAGGCCGAAAGGCGUAGUCGAUGGGAAACGGGUUAAUAUUCCCGUACUUGGUGUUACUGCGAAGGGGGGACGGAGAAGGCUAUGUUGGCCGGGCGACGGUUGUCCCGGUUUAAGCGUGUAGGUGUGUGUUCCAGGUAAAUCCGGUUCACUUUAACACUGAGGCGUGACGACGAGGCACUACGGUGCUGAAGCAACAAAUGCCCUGCUUCCAGGAAAAGCCUCUAAGCAUCAGGUAACACGAAAUCGUACCCCAAACCGACACAGGUGGUCAGGUAGAGAAUACCAAGGCGCUUGAGAGAACUCGGGUGAAGGAACUAGGCAAAAUGGUGCCGUAACUUCGGGAGAAGGCACGCUGACACGUAGGUGAAGUGAUUUACUCAUGGAGCUGAAGUCAGUCGAAGAUACCAGCUGGCUGCAACUGUUUAUUAAAAACACAGCACUGUGCAAACACGAAAGUGGACGUAUACGGUGUGACGCCUGCCCGGUGCCGGAAGGUUAAUUGAUGGGGUCAGCGUAAGCGAAGCUCCUGAUCGAAGCCCCGGUAAACGGCGGCCGUAACUAUAACGGUCCUAAGGUAGCGAAAUUCCUUGUCGGGUAAGUUCCGACCUGCACGAAUGGCGUAAUGAUGGCCAGGCUGUCUCCACCCGAGACUCAGUGAAAUUGAACUCGCUGUGAAGAUGCAGUGUACCCGCGGCAAGACGGAAAGACCCCGUGAACCUUUACUAUAGCUUGACACUGAACAUUGAGCCUUGAUGUGUAGGAUAGGUGGGAGGCUUUGAAGUGUGGACGCCAGUCUGCAUGGAGCCGACCUUGAAAUACCACCCUUUAAUGUUUGAUGUUCUAACGUGGACCCGUAAUCCGGGUUGCGGACAGUGUCUGGUGGGUAGUUUGACUGGGGCGGUCUCCUCCUAAAGAGUAACGGAGGAGCACGAAGGUUGGCUAAUCCUGGUCGGACAUCAGGAGGUUAGUGCAAUGGCAUAAGCCAGCUUGACUGCGAGCGUGACGGCGCGAGCAGGUGCGAAAGCAGGUCAUAGUGAUCCGGUGGUUCUGAAUGGAAGGGCCAUCGCUCAACGGAUAAAAGGUACUCCGGGGAUAACAGGCUGAUACCGCCCAAGAGUUCAUAUCGACGGCGGUGUUUGGCACCUCGAUGUCGGCUCAUCACAUCCUGGGGCUGAAGUAGGUCCCAAGGGUAUGGCUGUUCGCCAUUUAAAGUGGUACGCGAGCUGGGUUUAGAACGUCGUGAGACAGUUCGGUCCCUAUCUGCCGUGGGCGCUGGAGAACUGAGGGGGGCUGCUCCUAGUACGAGAGGACCGGAGUGGACGCAUCACUGGUGUUCGGGUUGUCAUGCCAAUGGCACUGCCCGGUAGCUAAAUGCGGAAGAGAUAAGUGCUGAAAGCAUCUAAGCACGAAACUUGCCCCGAGAUGAGUUCUCCCUGAGACUUAGAGUCUCCUGAAGGAACGUUGAAGACGACGACGUUGAUAGGCCGGGUGUGUAAGCGCAGCGAUGCGUUGAGCUAACCGGUACUAAUGAACCGUGAGGCUUAACCUUACAACGCCGAAG
rnacentral:rRNA from 1 species